GCCCGGAUAGCCAAGUGGUUACGGCGGCAGCCUGGAGUGCGUCUGGUUCGGCCAGAGUUCGAAUCUCAUUCCGGGCGCCA
rnacentral:tRNA from 1 species